rnacentral:tRNA from 2 species
GUUUUUAUAGUUUAAAUCAAAACAUUGGUCUUGUAAAUCAAAAACAAGUAUAUUACUUUAAAAACU